CAAUCUUACCUUUUCAGAUUGAUUUUACAUUAUGCCCCGUUCAUAAAGUCUAGGUUACACUAAAAUUAGCCUACUUGCCCUUCCCUUAUGUAAAACUUUUCCUUUUCCUACUUGUGUGCCUUUGAAUAGACUGUCCUCUGGAACUACAAUCAAUUCUUCCAUUCCUUCCUCCUUUUAGAACACAUGACUCUCUUUAAGAUUCAGCUUAAAGGUGAGUUUUUCCCAAACUCCCCAGUUCCUAGUCCUCCCCAUUCCCCUUAAUUGCUUUUCAUUUAUUGAGUGUAUAUUUUGCAUUGACUUAUUGGUAUAUCAUUCCAUUUCUUCCAGGUGCAAUUGUAGAGUAUAAGCCCUUUGAGGACAAGGACUCUUGAUUUUGUCAUUGUAUCCCUUGCACAUCAUAGAGGACAUUCUCUUAUUCAAGGAGCCAACUUCUUUUGCAACAAAGAAAUUAUCAAUAUUGUCUGAAUUGUAACCUUUCCCUUCCAGCUCACCAGAUGCAAGCUUAAUUGAUUUAAGCAGUGUAAAGAUCCAGGACAACUCCAAGGGACUCCCGAAGAAAAAAGCGAUCCCCUGUCACAGAGGGAAGCAUACUGUUCUUCAUUUUCUAUCAUCCAUGGAAUUUUCUCUGGUCAACACUGAUGCCCCAAAGGUCUGGUCUCCAUGGAACCCUCUCCUGAGGUCUUUUUCUCAUCCCAGUGAAGGUUAAGGAAUGGAUCAUAUUCUCUGGGAGAUGGAUACUUUCUCUUUAGAGCUAACCACACUUGUGGCGAGUUAUCUUCUCCACCUUUCUUGAC
rnacentral:lncRNA from 1 species